GAGAAACAGGGCUCUUUGACGGUGAUUACAAAACCUUUGAAACCAAAGUAAUAAUGAUAAUUGUAUUAUUAUUUUAAACAUCAAGUAUUAUUCUGAAGGCUAAAGAGAAGUUCAGUCAUGAGCAGCCAAUUUACCACAGUGUAUCUUUGUUAGAGCUUCUGCACUUAAAAAAAACCUGCUUGCUCUAAUUUGUCUUCUGACGAGAUCUGAGAUGUUGAUGGGGCAACAAGCCAAAGUCAUUUAAAGCAGAUAUGCUGCCCUGUGAAAAUGCAAUUUUUUCUUCAUCUAGUUAGUUCCAUGUCAUGCUAAUAAGGUUCUCUUAUGUAUUUUUUUUCAGGAUGAAUGGGAAAAAAAAAACAACAAACCUCUCUUCAGUGAACGUGAAGAAGUGGGUGGGGCUCUUCCACACAUUGACAAAUGCAGACUUCUUUUUUUUCACAGAUCAUGCUCUGGUUCCUGCCAGAACUCCCCUGUGGAAGGGGAGGAGAUCACACAGGCAGCAUGGAUACCUGUCCUACCCAAGCUCCUGCUCAUUUUCUUCUGAAGGCUUGUGGAGGAUUUUUCAGGAGAUAAUGAGGUGGGUUUUUUUUUUUUUUGUUGCAGUAACUUUAUUUUAUGGAUGA
rnacentral:lncRNA from 1 species